rnacentral:rRNA from 1 species
UACCGAAGACUAUCAAACUCCGAAUGCCGUCAUCUUAUACUUGGGAGUCAGACUGUGGGUGAUAAGAUUCAUAGUCGAAAGGGCAACAGCCCAGAUCGUCAGCUAAGGUCCCUAAAUGUAAGUUAAGCGGUAAAGGAUGUGGGAUUGCACAGACAACCAGGAUGUUGGCUUAGAAGCAGCCACUCAUUCAAAGAGUGCGUAAUAGCU